rnacentral:tRNA from 1 species
GGGCCCAUGGUCUAGUGGUUAUGACGUCGCCCUUACAAGGCGGAUGUCGUAGGUUCAAAUCCUACUGGGCCCACCA